rfam:Salmo salar isolate Sally breed double haploid chromosome ssa05, whole genome shotgun sequence.
AAUGCACCAAUUUGUAAGUCGCUCUGGAUAAGAGCGUCUGCUAAAUGACUUGGG